rnacentral:rRNA from 1 species
GACGAACGCUGGCGGCGUGCUUAACACAUGCAAGUCGAACGGUAAGGCCCUUCGGGGUACACGAGUGGCGAACGGGUGAGUAACACGUGGGUGAUCUGCCCUGCACUUCGGGAUAAGCCUGGGAAACUGGGUCUAAUACCGGAUAGGACCACUGCCUGCAUGGGUGGUAGUGGAAAGCUUUUGCGGUGUGGGAUGGGCCCGCGGCCUAUCAGCUUGUUGGUGGGGUGAUGGCCUACCAAGGCGACGACGGGUAGCCGGCCUGAGAGGGUGACCGUCCACACUGGGGCGGGGAUAAGGCCCAGACUACUACGGGAGGCAGAAGUGGGGAAUAUUGCACAAUGGGCGCAAGCCUGAUGCAGCGACGCCGCGUGAGGGAUGACGGCCUUCGGGUUGUAAACCUCUUUCAGCACCGACGAAGCGCAAGUGACGGUAGGUGCGGAAGAAGGACCGGCCAACUACGUGCCAGCCGCCGCCGUAA